AAAAUUUUUAUUUUCACUCCUUGAAGCUCUAGUCCACUUCUAUUCGUUCCGAAAUCGUCGGAACUCAUUUCCAAAUCUGUGCAAAUCACUUUCCAGUGUACUUUACCCAAUUUGAUAUAAAAUAACAGAAAAAAGUGAUGGUUGAAUUUGAUAAAAAAAUAUAAUUUAAUAAAAAUAAUUUAUUAUAAAAGUAAUUUAUAAGAAUAAUUAAUUACAAUACUUAAUUAAAAUAAUUUAUUAUAAAAUUUUGUUAAAAAUAAUUUAUUAUAAAAAUGAGUUAAUAAAAAACAAUUUAUUAUAAAAAUAUAUUUCUUUCAAUUUCUACUUAAACUUAAAUUUAAUGAAUAUAAUUUAUUAUAUUAUUUAACUACAAUUUAUUAUAGUACUUAAGUAUAAAUAAUAUGUAUUAAUAUAAUAUAAUUACUAAUUUUAUAUAAAUUUAAUUUAUUAUAAUAUAUAAAAUAUUAUAUUUUAUGUCUACGUAAUUUAGUUUUAAUUAAUUUAUAAUCUUAGAAUAUUCUACCAAAAUUGUGAAGAGUUUAUCCAAAAUUAUAUUCUGAAUAACAGAAAAUAACAAAAUUUAACGUGAAUAAUAUUAUUCAAACUGAAAAAAUAUUCUAUUUCACGGAAUAAUAGGGAUAAUUUAUUUUUAUCCCGUCUUUAUUCGAGUCAAACAUGACCCUAGAGAACAGCAAAACUUGUUCAAAGUUU
rnacentral:lncRNA from 1 species